rnacentral:tRNA from 1 species
GGGGUUGUAGCUCAGUGGUAGAGCACUUGCCUCCCACAAGCAAGGUGCUGGGUUGGAUCCUCAGUACCA